AUUGAACGCUGGCGGCAGGCCUAACACAUGCAAGUCGAACGAGUGGCGGACGGGUGAGUAAUGUCUGGGAAACUGCCCGAUGGAGGGGGAUAACUACUGGAAACGGUAGCUAAUACCGCAUACCAUCGGAUGUGCCCAGAUGGGAUUAGCUAGUAGGUGGGGUAACGGCUCACCUAGGCGACGAUCCCUAGCUGGUCUGAGAGGAUGACCGGCAACACGGGAAUUGAGCAACGGUCCAGACUCCUCCGGGAGGCAGCAGGGGGGAAUAUUGCACAAUGGGGGCAAGCCUGAGACAGCCAUGCCGCGUGUAUGAAGAAGGCCUUCGGGUUGUAAAGUACUUUCAGCGGGGAGGCGUUACCCGCAGAAGAAGCACCGGCUAACUCCGUGCCAGCAGCCGCGGUAAUAC
rnacentral:rRNA from 1 species